CCACCCCGUCUCCACUGGAUCU
rnacentral:rRNA from 1 species